UCGCGGCCUAUCAGCUUGUUGGUGAGGUAAUGGCUCACCAAGGCGACGACGGGUAGCCGGCCUGAGAGGGCGACCGGCCACACUGGGACUGAGACACGGCCCAGACUCCUACGGGAGGCAGCAGUGGGGAAUAUUGCACAAUGGGCGAAAGCCUGAUGCAGCGACGCCGCGUGAGGGAUGACGGCCUUCGGGUUGUAAACCUCUUUCAGCAGGGAAGAAGCGAAAGUGACGGUACCUGCAGAAGAAGCGCCGGCUAACUACGUGCCAGCAGCCGCGGUAAUACGUAGGGCGCAAGCGUUGUCCGGAAUUAUUGGGCGUAAAGAGCUCGUAGGCGGCUUGUCACGUCGGUUGUGAAAGCCCGGGGCUUAACCCCGGGUCUGCAGUCGAUACGGGCAGGCUAGAGUUCGGUAGGGGAGAUCGGAAUUCCUGGUGUAGCGGUGAAAUGCGCAGAUAUCAGGAGGAACGCCGGUGGCGAAGGCGGAUCUCUGGGCCGAUACUGACGCUGAGGAGCGAAAGCGUGGGGAGCGGACAGGAUUAGAUACCCUGGUAGUCCACGCCGUAAACGGUGGGCACUAGGUGUGGGCAACAUUCCACGUUGUCCGUGCCGCAGCUAACGCAUUAAGUGCCCCGCCUGGGGAGUACGGCCGCAAGGCUAAAACUCAAAGGAAUUGACGGGGGCCCGCACAAGCGGCGGAGCAUGUGGCUUAAUUCGACGCAACGCGAAGAACCUUACCAAGGCUUGACAUACACCGGAAAGCAUCAGAGAUGGUGCCCCCCUUGUGGUCGGUGUACAGGUGGUGCAUGGCUGUCGUCAGCUCGUGUCGCGAGAUGUUGGGUUAAGUCCCGCAACGAGCGCAACCCUUGUCCCGUGUUGCCAGCAAGCCCUUCGGGGUGUUGGGGACUCACGGGAGACCGCCGGGGCAACUCGGAGGAAGGUGGGGACGACGUCAAGUCAUCAUGCCCCUUAUGUCUUGGGCUGCACACGUGCUACAAUGGCCGGUACAAUGAGCUGCGAUACCGCAAGGUGGAGCGAAUCUCAAAAAGCCGGUCUCAGUUCGGAUUGGGGUCUGCAACUCGACCCCAUGAAGUCGGAGUCGCUAGUAAUCGCAGAUCAGCAUUGCUGCGGUGAAUACGUUCCCGGGCCUUGUACACACCGCCCGUCACGUCACGAAAGUCGGUAACACCCGAAGCCGGUGGCCCAACCCCUUGUGGGAGGGAGCUGUCGAAGGUGGGGCUGGA
rnacentral:rRNA from 1 species